GUAGGGUGCAAGCGUUAAUCGGAAUUACUGGGCGUAAAGCGUGCGCAGGCGGUUUUGUAAGUCUGACGUGAAAUCCCCGGGCUCAACCUGGGAAUUGCGUUGGAGACUGCAAGGCUGGAGUCUGGCAGAGGGGGGUAGAAUUCCACGUGUAGCAGUGAAAUGCGUAGAGAUGUGGAGGAACACCGAUGGCGAAGGCAGCCCCCUGGGUCAAGACUGACGCUCAUGCACGAAAGCGUGGGGAGCAAACAGGAUUAGAUACCCUGGUAGUCCACGCCCUAAACGAUGUCUACUAGUUGUCGGGUCUUAAUUGACUUGGUAACGCAGCUAACGCGUGAAGUAGACCGCCUGGGGAGUACGGUCGCAAGAUUA
rnacentral:rRNA from 1 species